rnacentral:rRNA from 1 species
UACGUAGGUGGCAAGCGUUGUCCGGAUUUACUGGGCGUAAAGAGCGCGCAGGCGGUCGUUCAAGUCGCGUGUGAAAGCCCCCGGCUCAACUGGGGAGGGUCACGCGAUACUGAUCGACUCGAAGGCAGGAGAGGGUAGUGGAAUUCCCGGUGUAGUGGUGAAAUGCGUAGAUAUCGGGAGGAACACCAGUGGCGAAGGCGAGUCUCUGGACAGUUACUGACGCUGAGGCACGAAGGCCAGGGGAGCAAACGGG